ACACCAACACUUUUUUGCAGUAAUAUCGCCAUGAGGAAGAUGGGUUUGAGUCCCACGCCAGAGCACCCUCUCUUACUGGAGACAAUGAAGAUAUAUGAAGAAGACUCUGUCUCCUCCAAGAUCCCCAAUCAGCCCAAGAUGGAAGCUUUGAUGGCCUUGGAAUCAGAGGCAGCAUCCACACCCAUCACCCAAUAUACAGUUUGAGCCUCUCAUGUCAGUAAAAGCACUAAACAGACAGCUCAGGAUUCCUCCCAGUGAAUAGCAAUAGCUGCCUGCUAAAUAGAUAUUAGGAAGAUCUUAUAGGUAGCAUCUGGUCCUCUCUCAAAAAGACAAGGGCUGUUCGGACUGGUAGAUGGGUGCUGUGUCCAGGUUAAUGGACCUCAAGAGCGUCUACUCCUGGUACUGUCUCUAUUGCACCUGUUAGGUAGAGAUGGUCAACAUCUUUUGUAUUUUGAAAAUGUUGAUCAAAAAUCAUUAAAAUUUUUACAAAAACAGAUUUUUGGUCAUGAAAAUGUUCACAAAAAGUAUUUCAAUUUUUUGACCAUUGCUGGUCCACAGCCAUGGUCUUGCUUAAUCCAUGUUGUUCUGCUGCCUGGUCCAACUGGUACUUCCUGAAUUGCAUGAAGACCUGCUGCUUCUGCUGGACCUGUUGUUGAUGUUUCUGCUGCUCCAUUAGCCACUUAAAGAUUGUUUCCAUUUUCCUCUUUUAUAUCUGAUUUGCAAAGGGUUCUUUAAAAAAAAACAACCACCAAAAAACCAACAACUAACCAACCAAACAAAAAAAAAUCUCAUGAUUCCUGCCACCACAUGUGAGCACAUGAAAUUCCCAGCCUGCUCUUGAACACAGUCCACCCACUGUAUAGAAUCCCAGUUUUCUCUCUUCCUAGGCUUUAGUUUUAUUAACAUAAACACAAAAUUAAACUCAGAUCUUCUUCCCACACUUGGCUUCUCACAGGUUUCCAACUUCAGGACUGCUCAGCCCACACUCUAGAUCCUCUCUCACAAAGAAGCCACACCACCUGCCAUAUAUGGGUGUGAUAACAAGCCAUUUGCCUCAAUAGGAAAUUUCCUACUGUUUAAUUCCACUAGUGUUAACAUUAGGAGCCCUAUGUAGAAAAGUUGCUGACCAUGCUAUUGUUUAAACUUGGACUGUGAUGUUUAGUUCUGCUCUGAUCCAGAUCUGUCUUUCAUUCUUAACCAUAAAUAUCUAUUCCAGACAGAGAUUUAUAUUUGAAACUUCCCAGAAUGAACCUUCAGUUUCCUUUAGGUCAGAUCAGCAGUAGUUCUUAUCUACUUGUUUAUAAGCAGUUUUAUUGUUUAUACACUUGCCUUUGUUGAGUUCAUCCCUUUUUAUCACAUCCUGUAUUUAAAUACCAAAUUUCUUACAGUAGUGUUUCCGUUAUCCAUUUAUUUUAAAUGUAAAUUGUGUUAUUUACAGUUGGAUCAUUGUAGCUGUUAAUUUCAAAUUAUCUAAUGAAUCCAGCCCCCCUUUCUUGUUUAUGAGCAGCCUUUGAUUUUUAUGAAUUUCUUCAUUGCUCAGUGAACAUUUCAUGCUAAUAAAUUUCAGCCUCUGGGUUGUUU
ensembl:lncRNA